UACAGAGGGGGCAAGCGUUGUUCGGAAUUACUGGGCGUAAAGGGCGCGUAGGCGGCCUGCUAAGUCGAACGUGAAAUCCCUGGGCUCAACCCAGGAACUGCGUCCGAUACUGGUCGGCUUGAAUCCGGGAGAGGGAUGUGGAAUUCCAGGUGUAGCGGUGAAAUGCGCAGAUAUCAGGAGGAACACCGAUGGCGAAGGCAGGUCUCUGGGCAUUAACUGACGCUGAGGAGCGAAAGCAUGGGGAGCGAACAGG
rnacentral:rRNA from 1 species